rnacentral:tRNA from 1 species
GGACCUGUGGCCAAGCUUGGAUACGGCGACAGCCUUCUAAGCUGAAAGUGUGAAGACUAAUCUUCCCACUUGCUUUUUAGAUCGUGGGUUCAAAUCCCACCAGGUCCG